rnacentral:rRNA from 1 species
UACGAAGGGGGCGAGCGUUGUUCGGCAUUACUGGGCGUAAAGGGCGCGCAGGCGGCGAGUUUUGUCAGGCGUGAAAGCCCCGGGCUCAACCUGGGAACUGCGCUUGAAACGGGCUUGCUGGAGACCGGGAGAGGAGAGUGGAAUUCCCAGUGUAGAGGUGAAAUUCGUAGAUAUUGGGAAGAACACCGGUGGCGAAGGCGGCUCUCUGGACCGGAUCUGACGCUGAGGCGCGAAAGCGUGGGGAGCAAACAGG